rnacentral:rRNA from 1 species
GACGAACGCUGGCGGCGUGCUUAACACAUGCAAGUCGAACGGAAAGGCCCUGCUUUUGUGGGGUGCUCGAGUGGCGAACGGGUGAGUAACACGUGAGUAACCUGCCCUUGACUUUGGGAUAACUUCAGGAAACUGGGGCUAAUACCGGAUAGGAGCUCCUGCUGCAUGGGGGGGGUUGGAAAGUUUCGGCGGUUGGGGAUGGACUCGCGGCUUAUCAGCUUGUUGGUGGGGUAGUGGCUUACCAAGGCUUUGACGGGUAGCCGGCCUGAGAGGGUGACCGGCCACAUUGGGCCUGAGAUACGGCCCAGACUCCUACGGGCGGCAGCAGUGGGGAAUAUUGCACAAUGGGCGGACGCCUGAUGCAGCAACGCCGCGUGCGGGAUGCCGGCCUUCGGGUUGUAAACCGCUUUCGCCUGUGACGAAGCGUGCGUGACGGUAAUGGGUCAAGAAGCACCGGCUAACUACGUG